GUAGGUAUAGUUUAACCAAAACAUUAGAUUGUGAUUCUAAAAAUAGAGGCUAAUAUCCUCUUACCCACC
rnacentral:tRNA from 1 species